UACGUAGGGUACAAGCGUUUGUCCGGAAUCAUUGGGCGUAAAGAGCGUGUAGGCGGCUCGGUAAGUCCGCUGUGAAAGUCCAGGGCUCAACCCUGGAAUGCCGGUGGAAACUGUCGAGCUAGAGUCCGGAAGAGGCGAGUGGAAUCCUGGUGUAGCGGUGAAAUGCGCAGAUAUCAGGAGGAACACCAAUGGCGAAGGCAGCUCGCUGGGACGGUACUGACGCUGAGACGCGAAAGCGUGGGGAGCAAACAGG
rnacentral:rRNA from 1 species